ACGCUGGUGCUGGGGCGACACGUGGACGGCCGUUACGCUCUGCUGGACCUCCCUCACAGCGAAACCACCUUGCCCCUGCCUAUAAAACCACGCACUGGACGCGGGUACAGCGUACAGACUCCCAGGUCUCAUCAAGACGCUGCGUCACUCCCGUCAGGACAUCAUGAAGGCUAUCGUGUUACCGCUGCUGCUGCUGCUGGGCGUGUUGGCGCUGUCGGCGGCGGGCCCCGCCCCCCUGGCUCGCCCCCAGCCGCUUCCGCUGCCCCUGAGGCAGGCGGCGCCCGCUGCCGCCCCCGAGCCGGCCGGCCGCGAGUCGCUGACGCCCAGCGAGCAGUUCUACUACGGCUACUACUACCCCGCCUACUCCUACUACCUGCUCGGCUAGGCUAGGCCGCUACUACGGCUACUACUACCCCGCCUACUCCUACUACCUGCUCGGCUAGGCUAGGCCGCCUGCUGACAGCACCGGACAGCCACCACCAGGCGAACGACCCUGUAACGCCAACGUUGUUUUAUCGUACCAAUAAAGUAUUGUGAAUCGGCA